rnacentral:rRNA from 1 species
UACGUAGGGCGCAAGCGUUUGUCCGGAAUUAUUGGGCGUAAAGAGCUCGUAGGCGGUCUGUCGCGUCCGUUGUGAAAACUCGAGGCUCAACCUCGGGCUUGCAGUGGAUACGGGCAGACUAGAGUGCGGUAGGGGAGACUGGAAUUCCUGGUGUAGCGGUGGAAUGCGCAGAUAUCAGGAGGAACACCGAUGGCGAAGGCAGGUCUCUGGGCCGCAACUGACGCUGAGGCGCGAAAGCUAGGGGAGCGAACGGG